UACGUAGGGUGCGAGCGUUGUCCGGAAUUAUUGGGCGUAAAGAGCUCGUAGGCGGUGUGUCACGUCGGCCGUGAAAACCUGCAGCUUAACUGUGGGCGUGCGGUCGAUACGGGCAUCACUGGAGUUCGGCAGGGGAGACUGGAAUUCCUGGUGUAGCGGUGAAAUGCGCAGAUAUCAGGAGGAACACCGGUGGCGAAGGCGGCCAUCUGGACGGAUGACUGACGCUGAGACGCGAAAGCGUGGGUAGCAAACAGG
rnacentral:rRNA from 1 species